UACGGAGGGUGCAAGCGUUAUCCGGAUUUACUGGGUUUAAAGGGUGCGUAGGCGGAUUUGUAAGUCCGAGGUGAAAUCUCCGAGCUUAACUCGGAAACUGCCUUGGAUACUAUAAGUCUUGAAUGACGUUGAGGUUAGCGGAAUAUGUCAUGUAGCGGUGAAAUGCUUAGAUAUGACAUAGAACAUCUAUUGCGAAGGCAGCUAACUAAGCGUAUAUUGCCGCUGAUGCCCGAAAGCGUGGUGAUCAAACAGU
rnacentral:rRNA from 1 species